UGUUUUCACUCUGUGGAGUUUGUGUUCUUGGGAGUAAUGGUGGUGGAUUGGGGGAUAGGACAGGCGAGCUCGUCGUCGUUGAUCUCGUCUCGCCGCCGGGGAUUGAUGGGACCUUUUUGAGGUGGAUUAAAGCAGAGCUAUAGGAUUUUGUUGUGUCUCCUGGGCAGAUCUGUAGGAUUUACCGAUAGGAUGAUAGUUUGAUAUGCUCCAUUUCCGCAUGCUUCUGUAGUUGUGUACCUUAUCUCCAUCGCUAUGCCAUUACAACUCAUUGUAGGAACUUUUGCCAAACCUUUUAGCUAUUCCCGUUAAUCUUGUGAUUAAAGCUGCUACCUUUACCCACCAAAGCUGCCUCCUUUGGCUGCAUGCUUCCAUCAUGGCCUCUGGCCCCUCCAUGUUGGGAUUCGUCUUUCAACGCCUCAGGACGAAAUGGCCGAUUACUCUUCUUCUUUUUUUUUUCUGAAACUCAGCGCUAUGGGCACGAGUCACGACGCUGACAAACCGACGACCUUACACACGGACAACAUUUCAAGAAAAGAAAAAGUUUGAUUCUUGUGCGGUCGUCGUUUCUGGCAUUAAAAAAAAAUCUCUCUCUCUUUUUUUUUCGCCUAUGGAACCUAGCCGGCGGCAGGGCACGGCAUAUGCUUCUCGUGCUCCCGGUGGUGUGGUUGGAAAUGCCACUGAUUUUGUAGAAAAGAAAGCG
rnacentral:sRNA from 1 species